rnacentral:tRNA from 1 species
GCCCGCGUAGCUCAGGGGUAGAGCUCCUCCAGGCCGGUGGUUCGAGUCCAGCCGUGGGCA